CGCCGCCGUCUUCGGGUGGCUAACUCCUUAGGAGACUCAGUUCACGUUACGUUUUCUCGGACACCUUCUUUACAUCCUCUGCUGUGGUACUAGAAGAGAGGAUCAGUCCUAUGCCAUCAUGUUGAAAAUGCACCUUUACAGGGACUCUAAGUUCAAGACUGUGAAAUGUUGAGAGACUGGUUCCAGAGCAAUAUAAAAGAAGUACUGGCAAUUCGACUUAGUUUUGAGUGGGAGCAUACAUUUGCCAGGGAGAAAGCAACCCUUGAUGGGCAUGGCCACGCAGCAACCACCCUCUCUGGUUUCGGCUGGGCACACACAAACUCAGUAUGUUUUUUUCAAGCUGCCAGGAACCAAGAUUCAAACCUCAGUAGAACAUGGAGGAUCAGGCCUUCUACGCACAUAGCACUUGACCUCUGUACUACACCCUGGCCCAUUUUAUACAUUUUUUGCUUUACUGAUUACUUCCUGAUUGUUGCCAGACAGUCAGCUCCUUGAGGGCAGUACCACACUUGUCAUGCCCAUCAUUGCCUCCACACUACCUAGCACACACUAAAUAAAAAUACAAUAAAUAGUCCCUGUCGUUGCAUCAAAAAAAAUGUCAGGAUCAAAAGAGAUGUAAUAGGUCUCUAGGUCAGACUUCUCUAUUUGCUUUUCAAAACAUGUGAGCCCUAGGCGAUCUGUCAAUGUCAUGCAAUCUGUCAUUGUCACAGUAUGUCAACGUCUUGGUAACCUCAAUGUCAUGGUUCCUGGCCAGAUAAAUGCAUCUCUUUAUGUUCUGACUGUA